rnacentral:rRNA from 1 species
AUACGUAGGGGGCGAGCGUUGUCCGGAAUGAUUGGGCGUAAAGGGCGCGUAGGAGGCCCGGUAAGUCUGGAGUGAAAGUCCUGUUUUUAAGAUGGGAAUUGCUUUGGAUACUGUCGGGCUUGAGUGCAGGAGAGGUAAGUGGAAUUCCCAGUGUAGCGGUGAAAUGCGUAGAGAUUGGGAGGAACACCAGUGGCGAAGGCGACUUACUGGACUGUAACUGACGCUGAGGCGCGAAAGUGUGGGGAGCAAACAGGAUUAGAUACCCUGGUAGUCCACACCGUAAACGAUGAAUGCUAGGUGUAGGGGGUAUCGACCCCUUCUGUGCCGCAGUCAACACAAUAAGCAUUCCGCCUGGGGAGUACGGCCGCAAGGUUGAAACUCAAAGGAAUUGACGGGG